rnacentral:rRNA from 1 species
AAUCUUCCACAAUGGACGAAAGUCUGAUGCAGCAACGCCGCGUGAGUGAAGAAGGUUNNNGGAUCNUCAAACUCUGUCAUUGGNGACNAAUAAAUGACGGUACCCAAUGAGGAAGCCCCGGCUAACUACGUGCCAGCAGCCGCGGUAAUACGUAGGGGGCGAGCGUUGUCCGGAAUUACUGGGCGUAAAGGGUACGUAGGCGGCUAUAUAAGUCAGGUGUGAAAUACCAGUGCUUAACACUGGAAUUGCAUUUGAAACUGUGUAGCUUGAGUGCAGGAGAGGAAAGUGGAAUUCCUAGUGUAGCGGUGAAAUGCGUAGAGAUUAGGAGGAACACCAGUGGCGAAGGCGACUUUCUGGACUGUAACUGACGCUGAGGUGCGAAAGCGUGGGGAGCAAACA